UAUUACUCGCUGGGGCGAGCCCUUUUUGUACCUGGAUACUAUGUAUGUAUAUGAAACUCGCUUUUGUUUUACUUGUUCCGUUUCUUUCUAGCAGCUCUAUACUACUGGUUGUAGUAUUGUUUGAUUACAGUUUCAGUACAGCUUUGCUUCGUAUAUAGGAAAAAUUCCUUUGUAUACGGCAGGUCUGUUGGCGUGCCCGGAAAAACAUGCAAUCCGGGGCGUAACAUAUAUUAUGUGAUUGGCGGAUAUUACGUUAGAUAGGAGAUAAAUUUAAUUUUACAUAUUACGUAAUUGGUGGGUAGAAAGGAAAUAUUUUAGAAACGCGUAAAUAGGAGAUAACGGAUAUGGAUGGUAUUUUUGUCAACAAAAGUGACAGAUACUUUUAAUUUAAUCGUUGAUUGAGAGCCAAUGGUAAAAAUUUAAGAUCUAUAUUUGAAAAUAAAUUAUUAUUUGAAUAAUUAUUUGAAACAAACGGUUGAAAAUUACUAUAUAUAAAAAUAUUAGUAGAAAAGAUAGAGAUAUUUUUGGAAAAUGGAAAAAAUUUAAAACUCACGCUGUUAUAAGUAGUGUGUAUAUAUAUAUAUAGAGUCCAGCUGCUAUACUAUCGGUAGCACGGGGCCUUUCGUGCUACCAAGUUGUUUUCGAUGAUGCGGCUUCCAAAUCGACGAUCGGCUCCGUUAGACUUGAUCUACACUAUUAAAAGUAUUUGGAAACUAAAUUUCAUAAUUUUUCGACAUCAUUUGACUAGUGAUCAAAAGAUCUCAAAAUUGACCAUUUUAAUGGCUGAUGUGGCGUGUUUGUGAGUUUAACGGUGUAAAACAAUUCAAAUCCGAUGAAAAUUUUACAGAAAAUUCUUUUCACUAUUUAGAGUAAGAUCAGUAUAUCUGAUCUUGAAUUUAAAUCUUUUAUCAUCAUUUUUUAUGAGGUUUUUAUUUUCAGCCAUUCAAUUUUAGACUAUUUGUUUGAUAGGUAAAUGAUAUCGAAAAAUUAUGAAAUUUAGUUUCCAAAUACUUUUAAUAGUGCAGAUCAAGUCUAACGGAGCCGAUCGUCAAUUUGGAAGCCACAACAUCGAAAACAACUCGGUAGCACGGGAGGCCUCGUGCUACCGAUAGUAUAGCAGCUGGACUCUAUAUAUAUAUAUAUAUAUAUAUAUAUAUAGAACUAGGCUGGAAUACUAUUAAUAGCACCAAACUAUUGGUGUUAUUAGUUUUUUAGCUUUUGGAUUGAGAAAUAUGCGGUUAGGAUGAUGUGGGCCCCUUAGGGUUGAGUGGGUGGUUGGUUGUAUAGUAUAAUCUAAUGGCUAAAAAUAAUCAAAGGAUUAAAUCUAACGGUGGAAAACUCGAUAGCACCAAGGCCUUGGUGCUAUCGAUAGUAUCUCAGUCGGACUAUAUAUAUAUAUAUA
rnacentral:lncRNA from 1 species